UUCGGAUUGUAGGCUGAAACUCGCCUACAUGAAGCUGGAAUUGCUAGUAAUCACAGGUCAGCAUACUGUGGUGAAUACGUUCCCGGGCCCUUGUACACACCGCCCGUCACACCAUGAGAGUUGAGAAUACCCGAAGCCCAUGUCAAAGUGGUCGAAGGUAGGCUUGAUGAUUGGGGUGAAGUCGUAACAAGGUACC
rnacentral:rRNA from 1 species